rnacentral:rRNA from 1 species
GGUUGACCUCGGGAUCAGGGCAGGAAAUACCCGCUGAAACUUAAGCAUAUCAAUAAGGGCGGGAGGGGGCUUAUUUACCCUUUGGGUGAUGCUUAAGGAGACCCAAGAUCAGGCUCUCAUGGCUAAUUUCAUAUUGGGAGUAUACACCAGGGUAGACAGUGGCCUACAUAUAUAUUUGGCUAGAAAAUUGUUCUCAC